rnacentral:rRNA from 1 species
GUGGUGCCGGCGUGCACUGCGCACACGUGUAAACCCCAAAGGCGCAGACAACUCGAACAAGUUGCUAAGGGAUUACGGGUUCGGCACGGGCGCAAGCCUUCGUCGGGCCCCUCCAUCCCGGGGUGUCCCGCCGCCGGGCUCCGGCCCGAGUGGGCAUCCCUCGAGUGCGUAGGAUGCGACCCGAAAGAUGGUGAACUAUGCCUGAUCAGGCCGAAGUCAGGGGAAACCCUGAUGGAGGGCCGAAGCAAUUCUGACGUGCAAAUCGAUUGUCAGAGUUGGGCAUAGGGGCGAAAGACCAAUC